UUGGUGUCACGUGGUCUUGAACGCUGCAUAGAGACAGCUUGGAACAGCCGCCGAGGGAGCAGAUUGCGGGAGGGUGUCGUUUUUGGACGGAGAUACUGUCGAACAAAAUGGGAGUCGAGAUUGAGACAAUAACCCCGGGCGAUGGAAGGACUUUCCCCAAAAAAGGACAGAAGUGUGUGGUGCAUUAUGUCGGCUCCCUCACCGAUGGACGCAAGUUUGACUCUUCCCGCGACCGCGACAAGCCCUUCAAGUUCAAGAUUGGCCACCAGGAAGUGAUCCGUGGCUGGGAGGAAGGGGUAGUGCAGAUGAGCUUGGGGCAGCGAGCGAAGCUGACUUGCACUCCUGACUAUGCGUACGGCAACAAGGGCCACCCCGGCAUCAUCCCGCCCAACGCCACCCUAAUCUUCGACGUGGAGCUUCUCGGCCUGGAGUGACCGCUUCUCUUCAGCCUCUCUCUUUUUGUUUAGAUUUUUUGGUGAGUGACCGCUUCUCUUCAGCCUCUCUCUUUUUGUUUAGAUUUUUUGUUGGUCUCCUACCUUGGACACUUGUAACGGAGCGAGGGAGUCUGCACUUGAUUAUUAAGAGCCCCGAGUUUAAUCUUCCACCAUCUUGGGUCACUAUUUUAUCCGUAUAGAUCUGUGUUUUUGUCCGUGACUGUUAUUCUCCUCCCUCCACACUCUUCCUAUAAAACUAUGGGCCAUAACCUAACAAACCUCGUGAUGUUCUUAAUCUUGAAAAUACUUAAAAUUGUGGAUUUUUCUUUUUUUUUUUUUUUUCUUUUGCUGUUCUAGUUUGUGCAUGAUCAAGUGAAACUACAACAUACCAAUGAACCAUUGAGCAGAGAUCUCGUUUACACAACAAUGCACAUUCACUCACUUAUUGUCUAUGUGCAAGCACCCAUGUUUGACUUUGAGUUCAAGAUGUAAGGGUAAGGAAAAGCACACGUUGGCAUUCAUACCUCCUCCCAUCUGGAGAACAGAACAAAUAUGAGUUUAGUGCAGGACGUGAGGGCCUAGCCUGUACUGUUAGCUUGCAUAGAGGUGUAGCUUUGAGUCAUCAGUCUAUCCUUUAUGACGUCAAUCAGGAACGCCAUUACAAUGCUAAUUAGAAAUGAAGUUGUGUUUUCCUUUUUAAUUCUGCCCCUUCUAUUUGAAUUAGGUAGUUGUGUUAGUGUCUGUCCAUACACUCGUGGUUUAGUUUGGUAGUGAAUCCGGCAUCCUGACCCUAGUGCCUCUUCAUGAAACAGCCCAAUGACACGGACGUUGUCACAGAGGAACAGUCUUGAAAGAGAAACAAAACAAACAAUUUGCUGUCUUUUUGGUGGAUCUAACUUUGCUUUGUAUUAAUCAAAUAAAUCAAGGUUUUGAAAAUGGAAAUGAUAUCAAUAUACUUACUAAUCAAGAAAACUGUUUAGUGAUUCUUGGAUAUCUGCACAUUUUAGCACUGAAAUCAGACUAAUUUUGCAGCCACUCAUUGAAUGGGCAUGGGGUGUGUAUGUUCCAUAGUUAAGUCCUCUACUGAGUUGACUUUCACUGUGCUCAACUUUUUCCAAGACAUUUUAGCGACUUUAGUAUUCAUCUGGGUAUGUGUGUACUUAGCACACUAAAUUGUGUUUUGCUUUUUUUCCUUGCAGAAAUGUUAUUGCUAAAGUGGGGAAGUAGCUGACCUUUCCCACCUUAUCUAGUUGAAUUACUUGCCAUUAUUUGUAUUUCUCAGAUGCCAACUUUCUAACACAAAGAAAUACUAUUCUAAAGUUGGACUUUAAAUUAUAAAUUUGUUUUUUGAAAGCUGCCACUAUCAAUACUGAUGUGGAACACAUUGCCUAAACAAGUUGUUUGUUUAGUCCGAAUGACAGCUAGGGCAACAAUGUUUUGUAUGAACGAUAAAUGUUUUAAUGAAGAGUUAACAGAAACCUAUAGCUUAAGGAGAUGCUGGCCUUUGCUACUGUUGAAACUCAAGCUAUCUGGAUAUGUGGCUUAAGGGUCCUUUGCUGCACCACUCCUCUGUGUGCUCAGUAACUACCGCAGGCAAAACCAAUGAUGAAAUCAAAAUGUGCCGUUGCAAUAAAGUGCUUUCUACCUGCUUUGAGAAA